UCGUGUAGUUUGUACAUUUGGGGCUCUACUUAAGUCAUCUUCGAUGAUGGAAUUGUUACAUUCUGUCAUGAUGUUAGUGAGGUGUAUCUGCUUGCUUGUUUGUAUGACUUUGGGGCUUGUUAUUUUAAUCGAUGGUAAUAUCCAUCCAUACUUUGCAGGUAAACAGGGUAGAACUGUAGAUGGAGGAGCUGGCCAGAUCCGUCGUGACCUAGCCAUGCGUUGUUGCCGUUGCUGGGCUGGCUGUGGCCUCCCUCGUCUAGCACGAGGUGGUAGGCCCUGGCCGCCCUUGGCUUCUACUAUCUCCAUUACCUCCAGGGGUCCCACUGUCGUGUGAUGGCAGCGAGUUCACCGCGCCUCAGCCGUGGUCUUGUUCUACGCCUCGGUGUUUUAGGUAAUUGGUGAGUGAAGCCUUCUUUGGACAGUGGUAGCUGGACGUGACUCUGGAGCUGUUAGCCGUCGUGGUGUUUGCGAAGGUGAGAAGUGGAUUGGGCCUUUAUGCAGCAACAGUGUAGGAGCAGAGGUGGCCAAGAGGGAAGCCGGGUAGAAGUGUAGCUGGAGCCGGUCAGAUCCGGUGUGACCUGGACAUGUGUUGCUGUGGCUGCUAGGCUGGCUGUGGCCUCUCUCGCCUUGCACAAGGCCCUCUGUUACCUCCCAUUACCUCCUGGGGUCCCGCUGUCGUUUGAUGGCGACGAGUUCACCGUGCAUCAGCCAUGGUCUUGUUCUACACCUCGGUGUUUUAGGUCAGCGUAGACGUGGAGCACUUGAAGGACGUGCUAGGGCAAGUUGGAGAAGAUCCAGGAGCCCAAGAUGGCCGGUCUUGGACGAUAUACACAUCCAGGUAGAACUUGAGCAGCCCUUACCGCUUGGCUGUGUGUUGUUCGGCUACCAUACUAUUUUACUCUCAGCAAUGGUAAGAGAAUUGGUGAGAAUUUCUUGUCCGUUGGAGGUUAAUCUUUGUUGGCCUGUUGUCGUCUUGCAUGUUCCGGUUGGCAACGGAGGAGGCUGGAGAAGCAUCAGGUUGCUGUGGCAGAGGCAUCUAUGUGAUGUUGUCUGGACCCAGCGGAGACGGUGUUCUUGUAUGCUUUGGAUGUUAAACCUCGAGGUCUAUUUGUUUUGUAUCUGAAAGUAGGCGUUUGUGCGUGUGCUCUUUGCAGCCGACGAUGAGAGGUAGGAGCGUCUUGUAUAAUACUGGUUGGAUUGUAGUAGCAUUGUGUUGUGUGAAGGAUUGGAAGUUGU